rnacentral:RNase_P_RNA from 1 species
UAAAGCAGCCGAAUAAUCGCGUUCAGGCUUGACCUGAAUGAGGAAAGUCCGUGCAUUCAAGGACAGGUCGCCGGAGAAACUCCGGACGGCGUGAGCCGGUGGAAAGUGCCACAGAAAUGAGUCAAAAUUUUUGACGUAGACUGCCGAUGGAAUGAAAAUUCACAGGCGAGGGUGCAACGGUGAGGUAAGAGCAUCACCGGCGGUAUCGAGAGAUACCGGCCAGGUAAACCCCGACAGAAUGCAAGAUAAAAGGGAGAUUUAAAGGCUGUCCGUCUCCUCCCGAAAAAUCGCUAGAGACCGGAAGUAAUUCCGGUACCAGACAGAUGAUUAUUUAGAAACAGAACACGGCUUAUGAACUGCUUUAUUUU